GUGGAUAAACAGAUCUCUAGGCCCACUCAGUGAGCGGUUCUCAACCCCACUUCUGAAGACCGCUGCCUCUAACUCCCCCUUCGCUUUUCUUAUCUGACCUCGCCUCAUUCCUAGCCAUUCAACCAAAGAGAGCGGCAGAGAGACUUGGAAGGAGAACCACAAGGAAAAGGAGACCAAAGGCGUUUUCUUCUAGAUGUUUUCAGAAAGGUGUUCACGUCAUUUCCAGAUUCCAUGAAGAGAUAAUCUCCAAGGAUGAGCUAAGAAGAGCCAGUGAGAUUAAAGUAGACUGUGAGCCUUUGGCGGACUUCUCACAAGAACAGGAACUUGAGGAGGCAGAGUGGUGAUGAAAACCGAUCAUUUGAUCUAUCACAAUAUGGUGAGCAUUCUCAGAUUCAAAUCAUGAAGAAAAAUAAGUUGUAAGUUAGGGAAAAUAUGAAGAAAACAAUGUGGCAAAUCAAGGGAACUAAAAGCAGAAGUGGGAGUGGGGGGAUGAAAGUCGUGAGUACUGUUUCCAGAAAAAGCCACCACCAUUGACUAAUUGGUUCACUAGUGGCCAGGAGUGUUUAAAGGGGAGGGGAGAAUAGGUCUAAGAACCUGCUGGAAGAAGAUAAGGUAGAAACUUAGAAAUGUUGCUAACAAAACACUUGAAUAAGUGAACAUGAAUCAAAGAAAAAGUGAAUUAAGAGAAAUGCUUCUAGAAAAUGAAAAAUGGACAUUAAAUACUAUACUGAAAGAAAACCUGCAAAAUUUCAGAUUUAGCAAAGAAUUUUAAUAAUCAUCAAGACUUGGAAAAUUCAAUUUUUCAUUUUUAUUAUUUGGAGGGAUUAUAAUUAUCUCUAAUAGAAUGACAAAUCA
rnacentral:lncRNA from 1 species